rnacentral:rRNA from 1 species
UACAGAGGUCUCAAGCGUUGUUCGGAUUCAUUGGGCGUAAAGAGCGUGUAGGCGGCCAGGUAGGUCGGUUGUGAAAACUGGAGGCUCAACCUUCAGAGGUCGACCGAAACCCCCUGGCUAGAGUCCGGAAGAGGAGAGUGGAAUUCCUGGUGUAGCGGUGAAAUGCGCAGAUAUCAGGAAGAACACCCGUGGCGAAGGCGGCUCUCUGGGACGGUACUGACGCUGAGACGCGAAAGCGUGGGGAGCGAACAGG